rnacentral:lncRNA from 7 species
UUUUUGAAGAUAUCCUUGGUCUGAAGUGUGAAAGUGUGUAAGUUGUGGAGACAUAGUUCCAGUGAAAAGACAAAGAGUUGGUGCUUUUGCUGGACCUGAUCUAGUUCCUUCAAACUACAUAGAACUAUACCAGACUUGCAUGAUGUUCAAUGAAAAAUCACCUGGGAACACACUUAAGUUAAAGAAGGAGGAAAAACAGCUCUAUUUACCAGAACCUUUCCUGACUGAAGCCUCUCUGUGAUAAAAGAACCAAUCUAACAGCAUGGCUGAAUUAGUCUUACAAAAGACAAAGGGAGAAAGAAUAGUUAGUUUGUUUCACGGAGGUGUUUUUGGUUUUUUUUUUUUUUCUUUCUCUUCAGCACUAUAUUAAAAAUCAAAGCUAAAAUACUCUAAUGUAGAUAAUGAGGCAGAUUCUGUCCCUCACAUUGUAUCAAAAUGAAUUAUGAAUGAAAUUACUCCAAUUUACAAAGUGAACAGGGAUUUUCCAUGCUUCACAUUUUUAUUGAUCUUAUAGUGCUUAAUAAGUGUUCUUAGAAUGUUUUAAUAGAAUUUAAUUAAGCUUUUUAAGGUUAACAUACAAAAGGAUUGGAUAUAUUUUAUAAUAUUGACUACUUCCCCCAGGAAAGAUAUUCUUAAUUUGCAUAUACGUGUUCAAUAGCAUCUGAUAGCUUUCAAUUCCCAAAGUACCUCAUAUUUUACCUAUAUUUAAAAUCACAGUUGGAAAGACUAGCCAAACUUAGGAAAUUUUGGCUUCUUCAAAGCAAUAAAAAAUUUCACAAGU